UACAGAGGGGGCAAGCGUUAUUCGGAAUUACUGGGCGUAAAGCGCACGUAGGCGGCUUUCUAAGUCGGGGGUGAAAUCCUGGAGCUCAACUCCAGAACUGCCUUCGAUACUGGAGAGCUCGAGUCCGGGAGAGGUGAGUGGAACUGCGAGUGUAGAGGUGAAAUUCGUAGAUAUUCGCAAGAACACCAGUGGCGAAGGCGGCUCACUGGCCCGGUACUGACGCUGAGGUGCGAAAGCGUGGGGAGCAAACAGG
rnacentral:rRNA from 1 species